UACGUAGGGUGCGAGCGUUGUCCGGAAUUAUUGGGCGUAAAGAGCUCGUAGGCGGUUUGUUGCGUCGACUGUGAAAACCCGAGGCUUAACCUCGGGCCUGCAGUCGAUACGGGCAGACUAGAGUUCGGUAGGGGAGACUGGAAUUCCCAGUGUAGCGGUGAAAUGCGCAGAUAUUGGGAGGAACACCAGCGGCGAAGGCGGCACUCUGGGCUGGUACUGACGCUGAGGAGCGAAAGCGUGGGGAGCGAACAGG
rnacentral:rRNA from 1 species